GGCGAAGGCUGGCUUGACCUCAGUACAACUUUUGAGAGAAAUGCUCAGAACGAGCUCCUGUUGACGCUCCUGGUCGUCAAUAAUAUGUUGAUCAAUAACUUCCGAGAAGGCGAGCCUUGAUGCGCUUCUACCAUGAUCUGCUUCUACCAAGAAGGACACGCCUUAUGAGAUACACACCUUGUAUGAUGAGGAAGUCUCAGCUCUGGUGAUGUUCUCCAACAUCCACAAGAUGUCACUAGUAGACCAGAAAACACAAACUGAGAUGAAAUCCAGACUCACAAAAUGACUCCAAGUGCCUGGUGCAGGUGUUCCUCCCUGCCAGAGGAGGUGCUGCUUCUUUUCUUUGCCUCUCCUUUCUGUUUCCCAGGUGGUGGUGGUUGGAGGCGGCUGAUUGAACAUCUUUAAUAGGACUGCUGCUGAGGACGCCUCUCUCUCUCUCUCGGCCCUUUGUCUGACUCCCAGCCACACGCACUAGUGGGAAAUGUUUGUCGACUGUUGUCAGUAGUGGUUGUAAUCUUUGUUAUCUGUUGUAUUAUUUAUAACAAAGAUUCUUUAAGUUAAUUGUUGCAGUCCUGGUAGGUAGGGGUGGGUAACCUUUUGUUUUAUGAAUAUUUUCUCCUGUUUUUGUUAGGGAGUUCAGGUAAGAAACCUGUAUUUUAUUUUACGCGUCUUUAUUUUCAGGUCAGUUAGAUUUAAAAUUAGAAAUGUUUUGUUUGUUGUUUUG